GUUAGAGACAGUGGUGGGUCAGGACAUGAAACUCCUUUUGAGACAGCACCAGCAGCCCAUCACCACCUGUGGACAUCAUCUGCAGGGAAAGCAUGCCUGCUUAUCUACUACUGAUCUAUAGGUUAUCUGAAAACUCAAGAACCAAUGGGAAAUAUGUUGAAAAAUAUCUUAAUCCAAAUAUGUUGAGCACAAUCCACAAAAACAUGACAUACACAUUUUUCUAGCACAAGAGUGAACAUGUAGAGCAUAUGUUGUAAAUAAUAAAUACAAAAUUAAGCAUAUGUAAUUUUACUCUCAUUGGUUCUGACGUUUCGGACACCCUGUGCUUACAUAGCUCAUCCUUGACUAUGCAUGCAGUAUUAGGUAAAACCUGGCAUUUAAAGGCAUCAAAAUUGGCAAACAUUUUCAAGUAACUUCAGUCUAUAUAUUGUCUGUAGCUGAAGCUCAUCCUUUUGAAGAUGCCAUCAGGAGAGAUGAGCUGUAAGCGUGCAUGGCAGUUUAUCUCCAGAGUGUACUUCAGAUGAGGAGUGUGCAACUGUAGCGGAGACAGCGAGAUGGAGAAAGUGAGACUUACCACCAUACCUGACAUGUUUAUCUUUAAAGAAAGCUCAUCCAUACUUCUCAACUAACCUUGUUUAUAGGGUGGACUCCAGGGAGGUGACGUAGUGUGGCCACAUAGAACACCUCCACUAAGAGGCGAGUUUGCAACAGGUGCAAUAGCACCUGGAAGGCCUGAAAUUCAGCACGACGGACCCGCAUUUUUGCCAAUAAUCAAGCCAGAGGCAGCUCAUUACGGAGGAAGAUGGGUGUGUCCUUGCUAGGAUUCUGUUCAAGCUGAGGAAAAGAAAUUGCAGAGGGCUGAUAAAGAGUAAGAAAGCAGAGAGCUGGUGUUGAUCUCCCAACCAGAGCGUGUGUGUGUGCGCGAGAUGCCAGCAAUGGCAUAUGUUGUGGGCAGCACGGUGGUGUAGCACUGCACAGGAUAAGCGGUUACAUUGAUGGAUGGAUGGAUUAUUUCAUCAGUUAUUCUCAUAAUGUUAUCAACAAUCCAGUUAAAUUGUGGAAUGAGUAACAGUAAGCUAAUGAAUAUUUUUUACAGAGAUUUCAGUUUUUCAGUUGUACAGUAUAUCUUUCUCUUUCGUAUAUUUCUUCUUCCUUUUUAUUUAGGACAGUUGUUUAAACAGGAUUAUUUUCUCAUGUUAUUUGCCAUUUUCACUUCAUUCUCACAGUCAAGUCUUAAGAGUAUUUAUUGGUCACAAUUCAUAUUACACAUGAAUCGAUACUGAUAUCAUUAAAUAACUUCUAGAUUAUUCUUCAGUGGUCACUCUAAUAUCUCAGAUCUAAUUUUCUU